AAGUGCCUGAAGAUACCUUGUGUCACGCUGCAAACUCGCCGUAUGCGUGGCGCGCCAGGCAAAUACGGCCCAACGAUUUUAUGCCGUGGAGUGCGGUUUCUUUGUUCUCGUUCUGGAAAGUUGGGUGGACGUCGCAAAGAAUGUGUGUUAGCGCGCCUCAGCUCGUCCACUACGCAGCGGCAUGUAUGCGGGGAGUAACAUCGUCGACGCAGCACCGGCAACUUGGAGAGUGCUUCGCGACCGCGUCGUACCAUUCAAAAGUGGCGAGGCUGUGACCCAUAACAGUGCCUACAUAACGGAGGAGCCACCAGACCCCUUGGCUAUGCCUGCCGUAGUGCAACGUAUAAUCUGGAUGGUCGGGUCAGGUACACCUAGGAAAUGUUGUAUACAUUGGCAACGAUAACUGGGGCCUGCUCCAGUGCCAUCGCCGGGAUUCCCUGUUCUGCAAAAAACUGACAUAACUGAUGUGGGGAGCCCUGGCGCUCGGUGUAGGAGUAUCACAGGGGCUCCUUGUCGGUGCUUGAAGGACGGCAAUGCUGUUGAGAAGCCGACAUUGAGCCCCGAUAAAUUGGAAGCUGUGGGUAGUUACCGCAUUAUUGACUUGGAAACCAGUGAGGUCUGGAUGCAAGUGAAGCUACCGAGGGAGGCAUGUGUGCAUCACUUAUGCUGCUGGCCAUCCUCUGCAAAAGUGAUGGCUGGCAGUCAGUGCUUAGAUGACUUUCUGUUACUCUACGCCUUGGGCUGUGUUGACUACUUCACACUUGCUGCCAUGUCUGCAAGCUUAGGCAAAAAGACCGGCUGGAUGCUUGGCAGGAGAUAGUAUCCAACCGCAGUGUUACUGUGUUGUGUUGUACAUUACAAAGUGAUGGAGGACAGUAUUUGUGCUGUUAUUAAGAAGUAUAAAUUGUGUUCUGCCAUUGAAAUAAGGGAACUCGACACAAAGCAAAAGAUUUCGAAGUCUGACCUACAUGGGAAAGCAAAAUAUAUUGUGUUGUAGUUGUAGCUGUUAGUAGAGUCUUAAUAUGCGAUAGAAGACCUUGAUGUUUAAUAGAAAAUAUAUUUAAGUGUGUUAUCAAUGUUUAAGUUACUGUUAUGUGUCAUUUGUUUGCCAGGAUGAUGUAAGCAGACAGUAAAUAAAUGCAUGGUUUGAGAUUAUAACCAGGUUUGUCUAUGGCAUUCACUAUUAUUUAAGGUGGACCAAUGCAUAUUCAUGGGUGCAUAUUCAACCACCACAUUCCUCCUGCACAAACAAUUCCUACAUACUAGCGUUUGGUCUUAGCAGCUGAUGUUGGCUAUUAUACAAUUUCUUGAAAGCACAUGCAGCUACCGACACAUGAUUUUUAGAGCAGUAAGUCGGAAGCAAAGACUGAUUUUUUUCUGUGGUCUAAGCUUAAAUGAUAUGUUUAAGGAAAUGAACAUUUGUGGAAUAUAUUUACUUUCCUGCUGCGAGAACCUUUAUACG